rnacentral:lncRNA from 1 species
UUGUGACAAGGUAAACUCCACAGAGUCAUCCAAAAGAAGGGAGCGAAGGGUCAGUUCAAGCAAAGCAUGGUGGCCUGAGAGGGUUGGCCUGGGUUCGGGGUUGUGUUCGCUUUUGAAUCACAAAGUCAUAUUUUGUGAAACCUCGGACAUAGCUCUCAAAAGGCAGAGGAACCGACCUUCCACCUUCAGAUUAUAAAUCAGGAGUAACAAUGGAACCAUCGGUUUAAAAUGUAAAACAUUAAUAGAAAAGAAGGAGACGAACAGGGAGAAGAAAAGAACCGUGUUGUUAAUUCUUAAAAGUUUAGAAUCCAGCUCAGUGAAUCCAAAAGUGGUUGCCAGAGACGGGAUUCAGAAGAUCGACUCGGAUCUCAGCAAUCCGCCCAAAGGGAUCCUUCAGGCUUUCUUCCGCUGAGGGUUGAAAACAUUAACUCCUGGGGUCCGAAGAGCCAUGACAGCUCCCCGCUUUUCCUCUGCCUGAGAAUCGCCAGGCUGUUUGUAAACAAGUGGCGGGCCGUUACGCCGUUUCCAGCCGGCUCUGGAAGAAACUGCAGAAAAUCCGGGCAAGUUCCUGCGAAGACAACAGGGGCGAGAGGGUGAGGCAGAAGGAAGCUCUAGAGGUUGACAUCCCCCCAGGAAACGCUAUCGCUUCCAAACGUCCCCUUUAACAACAGGCCGUGGGGCACCUUCCCGACUAACACAUUCAUUCGGGCAUCCGCUUUCGGGUAGGCCGCCCUCACCGGCUCCAGCGACACUUACAGCACGAUCCUGAUGUUAAGCCUUCAAGGCAGGGCAAAGCCUUCACUGCUUUUGCUGAGACUGCCUAACGCAAGGGGUCCUGCUGCCAACAGAGCCUUGUGGGUCACAGAAGGCCAAGAGCGUCAAGAGGUGUCACCUGAAAGUAGAUCCUGUCUGCACCCCAAUGGCCCCGCUCCCCCUGUUCGUGAACAGAAAGGCGAUGUCUUACGAGGAGACCUCUGAAUCCGGCACAGAAGACCCAGAACAUUUUUCUAAAUCGAAACCGUGCCCACCAAUCUCCACCCCACCCCCCGAGUCCUUCCCGGCUCUGUGUC